rnacentral:rRNA from 1 species
GAUGAACGCUAGCUACAGGCUUAACACAUGCAAGUCGAGGGGCAGCAUGAAGUUUGCUUGCAAACUUUGAUGGCGACCGGCGGAUGGGUGAGUAACGCGUAUCCAACCUGCCCCCUUCCCGGGCACAGCCCUUGGAAACGAGGAUUAACUCCCGAUGGCGUCGCCUUAACGCAUGUUUCGGCGACCAAAUGUUUAAGGAAGGGGAUGGGGAUGCGUCCCAUUAGCUUGUUGGCGGGGUAACGGCCCACCAAGGCUCCGAUGGGUAGGGGUUCUGAGAGGAAGGUCCCCCACACUGGAACUGAGACACGGUCCAGACUCCUACAGGAGGCAGCAGUGAGGAAUAUUGGUCAAUGGAGGCAACUCUGAACCCAGCCAAGUAGCGUGAGGGAAGACUGCCCUAUGGGUUGUAAACUUCUUUUGUUUGGGAAUAAAUGAUACUACGUGUAGUAUUUUGCAUGUACCUUACGAAUAAGCAUCGGCUAAUUCCGUG